rnacentral:rRNA from 1 species
UUGAAGAGUCUAAAUACCCUGAAAGCACCAGAUCCUGUCUGAUCUUGGAAAUUAAACAGAGUCAUCACGGAUUAGUACUUGGAUGCGAGACCACCAAUGAAUCCCAGGGACUGUAGGCU